rnacentral:piRNA from 1 species
GCCUCAAAGGAUGUUGUGACAGGUGAAGU